UGUUUGUGUAGUGUGUGUAUAUAAUGCAGUGUGUAGUGUGUUUGUGUAGUGUGCAUUAUAUAAACACACUACACAAACACUACAUUAUAUACACACACUAUACAAAC
rnacentral:miRNA from 1 species